rnacentral:piRNA from 5 species
GUAAUGGUUAGCACUCUGGACUUUG